rnacentral:lncRNA from 1 species
AAGAAAGCCAGAUGGCAACACAGCACACUUUCCUGGGCAGUCUGAGUUUCUCCUAAGCACCAAGUUGACAGAAAUGCCUUGGGAAUGGGAUUGCAACCUGCACCCAUCUGUGCUCGGAUCCCUUCUCUGGAGAGAUUAGUUACUCUAUAGCAAAAGAAUUUGGAAUCUUCUGCCCCACCGGCACCAAUCCCAGCUGGCGGGAGAGACAGAGGGAAUGAACAGAGACACUGGUUUAUAAGGGACACAGAAUCAGAUGGACCGCUUCACUUCAGGUCCUGGGACUGAGAGGAGAUUGCAGUCUCAGUUACACGUCUGAAUGCAGAAGUGUUGCCGGAACAACCUCCGGAAGACUUUGUAAAGGAAUUAAACAGAGAGCUCCUUCCUGAGGAGUCCGAAGGGAGAAAGAGCCCUCGCUAGUAGUCAGCACCCAAUCUGAGUUCCCAACACGGAAGAGGCGCUGAAUUCUCCGAGGAAAGCAGUUCAUUGAAAUAGAGGGGAUAAAUGCCUGUGGAAAAUAGUUGUCUUUCUGGCAUGCAAGUCGACAAUCAUGAGAUUCCUUGUGGAAGUCGGUGCUUUAUGAAACUAGCAGCAGCAACUUUGGCCCUGUUAUGCAUAUCAAAGAAUGUAGAAAAGAGAGCUAUCAGGGACCUAGACUUUUGGUGUUUGAUCAGAUCUGAGCCCACCUGGAAAUGACACAUUUCAGAAUGGAGUCUGAGUGAAGGAUUUUCUAGAAACUGUGAAUACAUUCAUUCCUCCUAUA